rnacentral:rRNA from 1 species
AUUGAACGCUGGCGGCAUGCUUUACACAUGCAAGUCGAACGAUGAACCUUAGCUUGCUAAGGGUAUUAGUGGCGAAAGGGUGAGUAUUAUAUCGGAAUGUGCCUUGUAAUGGGGGAUAACUAGUCGAAAGAUCAGCUAAUAACGCAUACGCCCUGCGGGGGAAAGUAGGGGAUCUUCGGACAUUACGUUAUAAGAGCGGCCGAUAUCUGAUUAGCUAGUUGGUGGGGUAAUGGCCUACCAAGGCGACGAUCAGUAGCUGGUCUGAGAGGACGACCAGCCACACUGGAACUGAGACACGGUCCAGACUCCUACGGGAGGCAGCAGUGGGGAAUGUUGGACAGUGGGCGCAAGCCUGAUCCAGCCAUUCCGCGUGAGUGAAGAAGGCCUUCGGGUUGUAAAGCUCUUUCGCGAGGGAAGAAAACUUACCAUCGAAUAAAUGGUGAGGCUGACGGUACCUUGAUAAGAAGCACCGGCUAACUACGUG